GAUGUUAGAUGCUACUCGCGAGCUAACCGCUAAUUCAUAGGUGAGAACAAGCAGGCUGUAAACGAGUCACUGUAGUGAUUUAUUUGUUUAUGUGUGUGUUUAAUAUUGUAAACAUUGUAUUGAGUUUAAAACUUUCACACUUGAUUUAUGCUGAGAGGGGAGAAGACAUGGCCGAGUUGUAGUCAGUCUGUUAUUCAUCUUUCACAUCCAGUCAUCGUUUCUUAUGCUGUUUUUCCUGCUAGUUUUCCUGCUAGCGGGCGGAACCGGAGCCAGAGACCGCGGUGGUCGUCGGACUUGUCACCUGCCGUCAUCCAGCUUUGCUCAUGGAUCACUUGAGUAUCAGAAACUAUUUCUAUAGAGCUCUAUAGUAUUUUCUUUGGGUACCCAGAUUUUAUUUUCUUGCCUUUGCUGCGAGUUUUAUUUUACUCCUGGACUACGAAAUACCAAAUUGCACGGCAAUUUGUGGAGAGGAUUAAUUGUUCAUUAUCCAAGAACAAAGGGACUGAUUUACUUCUGAUACAUACUGGAAAAAGAAAAGACUGAUUGAAAGAGACAUUACACAAGAUUUUGAAUUGUGAUAUUUCAUUUAUAUUGUUGACAUCUAUUUGUGUUACUGGAUUAAGUCAGAUACUUUGAGUGAUUAUGUCACUGAAAUGAAAGAACAUAUUUUGAGUUAAACAAACAUUCACUAGUUUAAAGGGAAGGUACGUUCCAGUCCAUAAAAUCUUUUAUUUUAUUUUAUUGGACUUAGGUAGCAUACUACUGCCAGACCCAGAAUAAAUUCCCACUGAGUACAUUUGAAUCUCAUCUUUGUUUGUUGUUAUUGAAAGAGGGACAAAUUGAUACUUGGUUACACUUUCAGGAAUAGAUCGGCGCGUAGGUUUUGUGCGUAGAGAGAGAGAGAGACAGAGAGAGAGAGACAGAGAAAGAGACAGACAGAGAGAGAGAGACACAGAGAGAGAGAGAGACACAGAGAGAAAGAGACAGACAGAGAGAGAGAGAGACACAGAGAGAGAGAGACAGAGAGAGAGAGAGAGAGCUGUGACGUUGGCGACCGGAGCAGAGUUAGCUAGCUAGUUAGCAGUUAGCAGUGUAGCUGUAAAUGUGCCAAAACUACAGCUACGACUCCUCAAGACCGAAGUUCCCGCGUCUCCCCCGUGCUUCAACUACAGACUCUGACCUGGGGAAGACUAACAACACCGGGGCAGGAGAAUACAGAACAGCUGGGCAGAUUUCACCUGCUGAUGAAGACUCUGUGAUGCAGCUGAAAUCUCCAGAAAAAAAAAGAGCCAGACAGCAUUGCGUCACAUCCUUGAUUGACAGGCCCCAGGGACCAAUGGGCGGAGACUGUAACAACGCGUCUCCUCUGACUCACUCUCUAAUGAGGUCUGCUGGCUGAAUGUUAAAGUGGUUUUAUGGCCCAGCUGGACUCAGCAGAGUCCUGGUCCUGUAGACGGAGAGAAACGUGCCGCUCACGUUCAUCUCUCCGUCUCUACAGCAGGAAAAGCAACAGAUUACAGAGCAGGAGGCAGUGAGGAGCAUGGCUCAAAGGAACUGCGGCAGGAUCAAACCUGUGACCCUUGACCCCUUAUUCAUACCAUGUGACUCACUCCAGUAGUUUUCUUGGUAGAGGACUUUAUAAUUAUUUUAUUACAGGGUCGGGUCAGUCGGUCUACUUUGUACCUUGAGAAGAAAAUCCUGUACUUCACUUGUGACACAGUGAUUAGGAUUUUAUUUCAGUAAAGACACAUUUCUGUUCAUUUUUAAAUAUAAUGUAACUUUACAAACACAUAUCAAAAUAAAAGUAGAAGUACUUUUUCUGUAA